AGGACGAACGCUGGCGGCGUGCUUAACACAUGCAAGUCGAGCGGAAAGGCCCUUCGGGGUACUCGAGCGGCGAACGGGUGAGUAACACGUGAGUAAUCUGCCCCUAGCUCUGGGAUAGCUCCGGGAAACCGGGAUUAAUACCAGAUACGACCACUUUAGACAUCUGUUGUGGUGGAAAGAAUUUUGGCUAGGGAUGAGCUCGCGGCCUAUCAGCUUGUUGGUGAGGUAACGGCUCACCAAGGCGACGACGGGUAGCCGGCCUGAGAGGGCGACCGGCCACACUGGGACUGAGACACGGCCCAGACUCCUACGGGAGGCAGCAGUGGGGAAUAUUGCGCAAUGGGCGAAAGCCUGACGCAGCGACGCCGCGUGGGGGAUGAAGGCCUCGGGUUGUAACCCUUUCAGCAGGGACGAAGCGAAGUGACGGUACCUGCAGAAGAAGCGCCGGCUAACUACGUGCCAGCAGCCGC
rnacentral:rRNA from 1 species